CUAGAUUAAGUGAACAAAGUUGUGAUUUACCCUUAAAAGCAUUAGAGUAUGAAGAAUCUGAAGCUUGAAGGGCAAUGCAUUGGUGACAAGAUGAAUACACAAAAACGAGGUAAGGUCCACUAUAAUAUCUUUUUGAGUUUAAUUCAAUUUUUGAAAGUUUUAUUAAAUCUAUUAGCAACAUGUUUGCUUAGCAUUUUCAAAAGUUAUUUUCUUCUAUCAAAUCUAUGGGUAGAAGCUUCUUUUUGCAACUUGCAGGUAUUAUGAUAAAACACAACAUUGCGGCGACAUCUACUUCAGAUGAGAAGAAUACUGCUUCUACUUGGUACAUUUUGGUUUCCUUCAAGAUGAUUGUUGGGUUUUUUUUGUUCAAUUUGGUACAUUGCAUUUUUGAUAGGGUUGAGGUUUUAACCCGUUGGAUUGUUUACGUUUGCUGUGUGUUCUCUUUGUUCAGACUAUAUCCGGUCUCGGCUAACUGGUGAACUUUCUGUUCAGAUUCUGGAAGCAACAGUUGGAAAAUAUAACUCAAAGCUCUUCUCAUUCUGAAAUGGUGUUUCUAGGUUUUGGUUUCAGCUUUCUGAGUUCUAAUGAAUAAUAUCAUGUGGUUGAGUUUGUAGAGGCGGGUGUAUGCCAUGGGUUUGCAGUUUGGAUAUUAUAGAUUGGGUGAUGGAUUCAAGUAACAACAUUGUCAUGUCAACCGUCCCAAGAGGUAACUACUAACAUCUAACAUCUAACAUAACAUGUUAUGCUUAAUGAUUCUCAUCA